CCAAAGUACAAAAUUGAAAAUUUUUUUGAUAAUUAUUGAUCUAGACAGUCCACAGAAUAUUACUGCAGUGGUUUGGUUCCGAUCGGACAAAAAACCUAGGACUAGUUCGCAAAAGUAGUUUUUUAACAUAUUUGUGAAUAACAAUUGAACGAUUUGAUUGACAGCAAUGGUUCUUGAGGCAAAGUUGUGCAUUAUGAGGAGAUCUAUCAAAUGAUAUGCAUAUUGUGUUGAUAUGUGAAACACCACGUGAUUACAGAGCCAUAAAACUCGUUAGCGCCAACUAGUGGCCGAUUUCUUUCAAAAUUCUUACAGACCUUAAGGUUCAUGAGUCGAACGUACCCAGCGAGUUUCGUUCCGAACAACAUCCGUUAACCCUUUCAAAUAGGUGCUUAAAAUUGUUUGGCCAAUGGCAGCCAUGUUUUUUGAGAUAUGCAAAUGUCCUCAUAGGUACUUGUGCCCCUUCAGACCAAGACACUGCAUACCAAUUUUCAAGUCGAUCGAGCCAACGGUUGCCUAGUUAUAGCCAUUUAUGUGUUUUUUAAAUCUUAUUGCGCCCCCAAGUGGCAGAGAUGCGCAAUUUUUUUUUAUUUGACCAAAGAUUGAGCUCAUACAUAUGUGUACCGAGUUUGGUGAAGAUAUCUCAUUCCGUUCAAGAGUUAUAGUCAAAAUAGCAUUUGGCUAACGUUAGCAUAGACGCUUUUUGGUGUACUGUUUCGCGUAAGAAUUGAAAUUUCAACUUUUUUUUAAUAAUUAUUGAUAUUGAGUGUCCAGGGAAUAUUUCUGAAGUGGUUUGGUUCUGAUUGGUUGAAAAUCCUAGGACUAGUUCGCAAAAGUAGGUUUCGGAUAUAGCUCGAUUUUGCGAGAAAACGGUGUGUCGUAGACCCCAAAAAGGCGCCGUGCACUUUUGUUCGGGCUAACCCAAGGAUUGCUAUGAUGCCAUGUUUUUGAGUUUAUGGCUAAUGGUUUACGAUUCACGGCCAAAAACGUCCAAAAUUUUUGUUUUUUGCGCUAUAGCGCCC